GGAGUGAUGGCCGAGGGGCUAAAGGCGCACGCCUGCUAAGCGUGAGGGUCCAAAAGGCCCACGUGGGUUCGAAUCCCACUCACUCCGCCA
rnacentral:tRNA from 1 species